UACGGAGGAUGCGAGCGUUAUCCGGAAUCACUGGGUUUAAAGGGUGCGUAGGCGGCUUAGUAAGUCAGUGGUGAAAGACUGUGGCUUAACCAUGGAAUUGCCAUUGAUACUGCUGAGCUUGAAUCAGGUUGAGGUUGGCGGAAUGUGACAUGUAGCGGUGAAAUGCUUAGAUAUGUCAUGGAACACCGAUUGCGAAGGCAGCUGACUGGACCUGUAUUGACGCUGAGGCACGAAAGCGUGGGGAGCGAACAGG
rnacentral:rRNA from 1 species